GUGGCGCACGGGUGCGUAACACGUAUGUAACCUACCCAUAUCAGGGGGAUAGCCUCGCGAAAGAGAGAGGAAGCCCGCAUAAAAUCACACUAUGGCGUCAUAGAAUGAUCAAAUAUUUAUAGGAUAUGGAUGGGCAUGCGGAACAUUAGCUAGUUGGUAAGGUAACGGCUUACCAAGGCUACGAUGUUUAGGGGAUCUGAGAGGAUGACCCCCCACAGUGGUACUGAGACACGGACCAGACUCCUACGGGAGGCAGCAGUAAGGAAUAUUGGUCAAUGGACGGAAGUCUGAACCAGCCAUGCCGCGUGCAGGAAGACGGCCCUACGGGUUGUAAACUGCUUUUGUACCGGAAUAAACCACAGGUCGUGAUCUGUGCUGAAUGUACGGUAAGAAUAAGGAUCGGCUACCUCCGUGCCAG
rnacentral:rRNA from 1 species